rnacentral:rRNA from 1 species
UGGGGAAUAUUGGACAAUGGGCGCAAGCCUGAUCCAGCAAUACCUCGUGUGUGAAGAAGGCCUUAGGGUUGUAAAGCACUUUCAAUUGGGACGAAAAGUUUGUAGCUAAUAUCUGCAAACCUUGACGGUACCUUUAGAAGAAGCACCGGCUAACUCCGUGCCAGCAGCCGCGGUAAUACGGAGGGUGCAAGCGUUAAUCGGAAUUACUGGGCGUAAAGCGCGCGUAGGUGGUAUGGUAAGUCAGAUGUGAAAGCCCUGGGCUCAACCUGGGAACUGCAUUUGAAACUGCCACACUAGAGUAUGGUAGAGGGAAGUGGAAUUCCACAUGUAGCGGUGAAAUGCGUAGAGAU